rnacentral:rRNA from 1 species
UACCAGACUCCUACGGGAGGCAGCAGUGGGGGAUAUUGCACAAUGGGGGCAACCCUGAUGCAGCGACGCCGCGUGAGCGAUGGAGUACUUCGGUAUGUAAAGCUCUGUCAGCAGGGAAGAGAAUGACGGUACCUGACCAAGAAGCCCCGGCUAAAUACGUGCCAGCAGCCGCGGUAAUACGUAUGGGGCAAGCGUUAUCCGGAUUUACUGGGUGUAAAGGGAGCGUAGGCGGCAGGGCAAGCCUGAUGUGAAAGUCCGGGGCUCAACCCCGGGACUGCAUUGGAAACUGUCCGACUAGAGUGCAGGAGAGGUAAGUGGAAUUCCUGGUGUAGCGGUGAAAUGCGUAGAUAUUAGGAGGAACACCAGUGGCGAAGGCGGCUUACUGGACUGUAACUGACGUUGAGGCUCGAAAGCGUGGGGAGCAAACAGGAUUAGAUACCCCAGUA